rnacentral:rRNA from 1 species
UUGGAGGGCAAGUCUGGUGCCAGCAGCCGCGGUAAUUCCAGCUCCAAUAGCGUAUAUUAAAGUUGUUGCAGUUAAAAAGCUCGUAGUUGAAUUUCGGGAUCAAAUUGUCGGUCGUGCCUCGGUACGCACUGGUAUUAUUGGUUCCUACCUUCUGAAGGACCGCGAUGUCAUUAAUUUGGUGUCGUGGGGAAUCAGGACUGUUACUUUGGAAAAAUUAGGGUGUUUAAAGCAGGCUUACGCUUGAAUACAUUAGCAUGGAAUAAUGAAAUAGGACGUUUGAUUCUAUUUUGUUGGUUUCUAGGAUUGACGUAAUGAUUAAUAGGGAUAGUUGGGGGCAUUAGUAUUCAAUUGUCAGAGGUGAAAUUCUUGGAUUUAUUGAAGACUAACUACUGCGAAAGCAUUUGCCAAGGAUGUUUUCAUUAAUCAAGAACGAAAGUUAGGGGAUCGAAGACGAUCAGAUACCGUCGUAGUCUUAACCAUAAACUAUGCCGACUAGGGAUCGGAUGAUGUUAAUUUAUUAAUGACUCAUUCGGCGCCUUACGGGAAACCAAAGUGUUUGGGUUC